UUUAUUGGGGUUGCGGACAUAUCAUAACGAAGAGGUAUCGUAAUUGAAGAGGUUUGGAAAGACCCACCACAGAAGGUAAUAGUCCUGUAUGUUAAACGAGAAGACUUCAGAUAUGAUCCAGAGUACCACGGGACACGUGAAACCCUGUGGGAAGCAGGAGGGACCACCCUCCAAGGCUAAAUACUACCUAGUGACCGAUAGCGUAUAGUACCGUGAGGGAAAGGUGAAAAGAACCCCGGGAGGGGAGUGAAAUAGAACCUGAAACCCUGCACUUACAAGCUGUGGAAGCACAUUUCUUGUGUGACCGCGUACUUUUUGUAGAACGGGCCAACGAGUUACGUUAAGUAGCAAGGUUAAGCACUUAAGGUGUGGAGCCGUAGCGAAAGCGAGUUUUAACUGAGCGUUCAGUUACUUGACGUAGACCCGAAACCGGGCGACCUACCCAUGAGCAGGAUGAAGCGAAAGUAAAAUUUCGUGGAGGUCCGAACCCACGAGCGUUGAAAAGCUCGGGGAUGACUUGUGGGUAGCGGUGAAAUUCCAAUCGAGCCCGGAGAUAGCUGGUUCUCCCCGAAAUAGCUUUAGGGCUAGCCUCAAGGUGAGAGAUACGGAGGUAGAGCACUGAAUGUCCUAGGGGGUAUUGCACCUACCGAAGACUAUCAAACUCCGAAUGCCGUCAUCUUAUACUUGGGAGUCAGACUGUGGGUGAUAAGAUUCAUAGUCGAAAGGGCAACAGCCCAGAUCGUCAGCUAAGGUCCCUAAAUGUAAGUUAAGUGGUAAAGGAUGUGGGAUUGCACAGACAACCAGGAUGUUGGCUUAGAAGCAGCCACUCAUUCAAAGAGUGCGUAAUAGCUCACUGGUCGAGUGAUCCUGCGCCGAAGAUUUCCGGGGCUAAAACUUACUACCGAAGCUACGGCAUCAGUAAUGAUGGGUAGGGGAGCUUCCCAUACGGGUUGAAGCAUGACCGUAAGGACAUGUGGACAGUAUGGGAGUGAGAAUGUUGGCAUGAGUAGCGAGAUGUGGGUGAGAAUCCCACAGGCCGUAAACCCAAGGUUUCCAGGGGAAGGUUCGUCCGCCCUGGGUUAGUCGGGACCUAAGCUGAGGCCGAAAGGCGUAGGUGAUGGACAACAGGUUGAUAUUCCUGUACUACCGAUAACCGUUUGAGAGAAGGGAUGACACAGUAGGAUAAGCUAAGCACACUGUUGGUUAUGUGUGCCCAAGCAUUGAGGCAGUCAAAGUAGGCAAAUCCGCUUUGAUAAUGCUGGGAUGUGAUGGGGAGCGAAAUUUAGUAGCGAAGUAGCUGAUUUCACACUGUCAAGAAAAGUCUCUAUCGAGGUUAAAGGUACCCGUACCGCAAACCGACACAGGUGGGUGAGGAGAGUAUCCUAAGGCCAGCGAGAGAACUGUUGUUAAGGAACUCGGCAAAAUGACCCCGUAACUUAGGGAUAAGGGGUGCCACCAUCAGGUGGCCGCAGAGAAUAGGCCCAAGCGACUGUUUACCAAAAACAUAGGUUUCUGCUAAGUCGCAAGACGAUGUAUAGGAGCUGACGCCUGCCCGGUGCUGGAAGGUUAAGGGGAUCUGUUAGAGCAAUCGAAGCAGUGAACUUAAGCCCCAGUAAACGGCGGCCGUAACUAUAACGGUCCUAAGGUAGCGAAAUUCCUUGUCGGGUAAGUUCCGACCCGCACGAAAGGCGUAACGAUUUGGGCACUGUCUCAACAACAGACUCGGUGAAAUUGUAAUUCCGGUGAAGAUGCCGGAUACCUGCGACAGGACGGAAAGACCCCAUGGAGCUUUACUGUAGCUUGACAUUGGGUCUUGGUACUACAUGUACAGGAUAGGUGGGAGGCUUUGAAACCAGGACGCCAGUUUUGGCGGAGCCAUCCUUGGGAUACCACCCUUGUAGUACUGGGACUCUAACCAUAGGCCAUGAAUCUGGUCUUGGGACACUGUCAGGUGGGCAGUUUGACUGGGGCGGUCGCCUCCCAAAAGGUAACGGAGGCGCUCAAAGGUUCUCUCAGUACGGUCGGAAAUCGUACGUAGAGUGUAAAGGCAAAAGAGAGCUUGAUUGCAAGACAUACAGGUCGAGCAAGGAUGAAAAUCGGACUUAGUGAUCCGGUGGUUCUGCGUGGAAGGGCCAUCGCUCAACGGAUAAAAGCUACCCUGGGGAUAACAGGCUUAUCUCCCCCAAGAGUCCACAUCGACGGGGAGGUUUGGCACCUCGAUGUCGGCUCAUCACAUCCUGGGGCUGUAGUAGGUCCCAAGGGUUGGGCUGUUCGCCCAUUAAAGUGGUACGCGAGCUGGGUUCAGAACGUCGUGAGACAGUUCGGUCCCUAUCCGUCGCAGGCGUAGGAAAUUUGAGAAGACCUGUCCUUAGUACGAGAGGACCGGGAUGGACGUACCUCUGGUGUACCAGUUGUCCUGCCAAGGGCAUGGCUGGGUAGCUAUGUACGGAAUGGAUAAGCGCUGAAAGCAUCUAAGCGCGAAGCCAACUUCAAGAUAAGAUUUCCCACCGCAAGGGUAAGACCCCAGAAAGACUAUCUGGUUGAUAGGUCGAAGGUGUAAGUGCAGCAAUGUAUUUAGCUUAUCGAUACUAAUAGGUCGAGGACUUGACCAA
rnacentral:rRNA from 1 species